AUUGAACGCUGGCGGCAGGCCUAACACAUGCAAGUCGAACGAGUGGCGGACGGGUGCGUAAUGUCUGGGAAACUGCCUGAUGGAGGGGGAUAACUACUGGAAACGGUAGCUAAUACCGCAUACCAUCGGAUGUGCCCAGAUGGGAUUAGCUAGUAGGUGGGGUAAUGGCUCACCUAGGCGACGAUCCCUAGCUGGUCUGAGAGGAUGACCAGCCACACUGGAACUGAGACACGGCCCAGACCCCUACGGGAGGCAGGAGGGGGGAAUAUUGCCCAAUGGGCGGAAGCCUGAUGCAGCCAUGCCGCGUGUAUUAAGAAGGCCUUCGGGUUGUAAAGUACUUUCAGCGGGGAGGCGUUACCCGCAGAAGAAGCACCGGCUAACUCCGUGCCAGCAGCCGCGGUAAUAC
rnacentral:rRNA from 1 species